AUUGAACGCUGGCGGCAGGCCUAACACAUGCAAGUCGAGCGAGCGGCGGACGGGUGAGUAAUGUCUGGGAAACUGCCUGAUGGAGGGGGAUAACUACUGGAAACGGUAGCUAAUACCGCAUACCAUCAGAUGUGCCCAGAUGGGAUUAGCUAGUAGGUGGGGUAACGGCUCACCUAGGCGACGAUCCCUAGCUGGUCUGAGAGGAUGACCAGCCAAAAUGGAACUGAGAAAAGGUCAAGACUCGUACGGGAGGGAGCAGUGGGGAAUAUUGCAAAAUGGGCGCAAGCCUGAUGCAGACAUGCCGCGUGUGUGAAGAAGGCCUUAGGGUUGUAAAGCACUUUCAGCGGGGAGGCGUUACCCGCAGAAGAAGCACAGGCUAACGCCGUGCCAGCAGCCGCGAUAAUUC
rnacentral:rRNA from 1 species